rnacentral:lncRNA from 1 species
GGGAAGGGGAGGAGAGGUAGAGGAGGAGAGGAAGUACAAGGGUGGGAGAGAGGAGAUUGAGAGAUAUAGAGAAGCAGACAGACGGGAGAGAGAGGAAGUGUGAGGCAGACGGGAGCUUUAGGAUAAGAAGCGCUGGGGGAUGGAUCGGAUAAGAUGUGGCUGAGAGAGAGAGGUGGGGGGGGAGGGGGUGGAUGGGAGCUUUAGUACCGGGUGGGAGCUCCACUCGGUACUAAAGGGUUAUCGGGUGGGAGCCCUUAGUACCGGGUGGAGGCUCCACCCGGUAUUAAAGGAGGUCACGGGGGCCAUCUCGGGAACUAUCCGUUAGGCCCGGUACUAAUACUCACAUUAGUACUGGGUCAAAAUACAACUAGUACUGAGUCUCGGGACGAAUCAGUUUUCCAGUAGUGUACGUCUCUGUAAUGCGAUUCCUCACACGUACCAAAGCUCAAGCUCAGUUAGCAGCACUUCCACACAUAAUUUAAGAUGUAGGAGUAUAUUCUUUGUACUUGACCAGCAAGAAGUCUAUCUCAUGCAGUAUAAAUAUAAU